CACGUAGGGGGCGAGCGUUAUCCGGAUUCAUUGGGCGUAAAGCGCGCGCAGGCGGCCGCCUAAGCGGGACCUCUAAUCCCGGGGCUCAACCCCGGGCCGGGUCCCGAACUGGGCGGCUCGGGUGCGGUAGAGGAGAGCGGAAUUCCCGGUGUAGCGGUGGAAUGCGCAGAUAUCGGGAAGAACACCGAUGGCGAAGGCAGCUCUCUGGGCCGUCACCGACGCUGAGGCGCGAAAGCUAGGGGAGC
rnacentral:rRNA from 1 species